UACGGAGGGUGCGAGCGUUGUCCGGAAUCACUGGGCGUAAAGGGCGCGUAGGCGGCUUGUCGCGUCGACUGUGAAAUCCCGCGGCUCAACUGCGGGUCUGCAGUCGAUACGGGCAGGCUAGAGUUCGGUAGGGGAGACUGGAAUUCCUGGUGUAGCGGUGAAAUGCGCAGAUAUCAGGAGGAACACCGAUGGCGAAGGCAGGUCUCUGGGCCGAUACUGACGCUGAGGAGCGAAAGCGUGGGGAGCGAACAGG
rnacentral:rRNA from 1 species